AGAGUUUGAUCCUGGCUCAGAUUGAACGCUGGCGGCAUGCCUUACACAUGCAAGUCGAACGGCAGCGCGGGGCAACCUGGCGGCGAGUGGCGAACGGGUGAGUAAUAUAUCGGAACGUACCCUGGAGUGGGGGAUAACGUAGCGAAAGUUACGCUAAUACCGCAUACGAUCUAAGGAUGAAAGUGGGGGAUCGCAAGACCUCAUGCUCCUGGAGCGGCCGAUAUCUGAUUAGCUAGUUGGCGGGGUAAAAGCCCACCAAGGCAACGACCAGUAGCUGGUCUGAGAGGACGACCAGCCACACUGGAACUGAGACACGGUCCAGACUCCUACGGGAGGCAGCAGUGGGGAAUUUUGGACAAUGGGCGCAAGCCUGAUCCAGCAAUGCCGCGUGAGUGAAGAAGGCCUUCGGGUUGUAAAGCUCUUUUGUCAGGGAAGAAACGGUGGGGGC
rnacentral:rRNA from 1 species